CAAAGUAUCUUCUGCCCACUGAUAAUUUAAAUGGCCGCAGUACUCUGACUGUGCUAAGGUAGCGUGAUUCUUGUUUUCUUAAUUAGAAAUCUGUUCAAAGAAUGAUAUGUGGAAAAUCUGUUGUUUUCGUAUAAAACAAACUUAAAUUGUUAGUGAAAAUUCUAACAAAUUCUUAAAAGACGAGAAGACCCCACAAAACUUAAUUUAACUGCUUAUUUAUUAUUUACUAAAAUUUAGAUGGGGACUUUAGAGUAAAACAAUAACUUGGUGACCUACAUAUUUAAUAACUGAGAAGCUACUUUGGGGAUAACAGGGUGAGAUAUUUAGAGAGUCCUUAUCGAUAAAUAUAAUUACUACCUCGAUGUUGGAUUAUCUUUUCA
rnacentral:rRNA from 1 species